AACGAACGCUGGCGGCAGGCCUAACACAUGCAAGUCGAGCGAGGACUUCGGUCCUAGCGGCGGACGGGUGAGUAACGCGUGGGAACGUGCCCUUUGCUUCGGAAUAGCCCUGGGAAACUGGGAGUAAUACCGGAUGAGCCCUUUGGGGGAAAGAUUUAUCGGCGAAGGAUCGGCCCGCGUUGGAUUAGGUAGUUGGUGGGGUAAUGGCCUACCAAGCCGACGAUCCAUAGCUGGUUUGAGAGGAUGAUCAGCCACACUGGGACUGAGACACGGCCCAGACGCCUCCGGGAGGCAGCAGGGGGGAAGCUUAGACAAGGGGGGAGACCCUGAACUAGCUAUGGCGCGUGAGGGAUGAAGGCGUUAGGGUUGAAAAGCUCCUUCAGCGGGGAAGAUAAUGAGGGUAGCAGAAGAAGAAGCCCCGGCUACCUCCC
rnacentral:rRNA from 1 species